rnacentral:rRNA from 1 species
GACGAACGCUGGCGGCGUGCCUAAUACAUGCAAGUCGAGCGGACCGAAGGGAGCUUGCUCCUUUAGGUUAGCGGCGGACGGGUGAGUAACACGUGGGCAACCUGCCCUGCAGACUGGGAUAACUUCGGGAAACCGGAGCUAAUACCGGAUAACACCGAAAACCGCAUGGUUUUCGGUUGAAAGGCGGCUCUUAGCUGUCACUGCAGGAUGGGCCCGCGGCGCAUUAGCUAGUUGGUGAGGUAACGGCUCACCAAGGCGACGAUGCGUAGCCGACCUGAGAGGGUGACCGGCCACACUGGGACUGAGGCACGGCCCAGACUCCUACGGGAGGCAGCAGUAGGGAAUCUUCCGCAAUGGACGAAAGUCUGACGGAGCAACGCCGCGUGAGCGAAGAAGGUCUUCGGAUCGUAAAGCUCUGUUGUCAGGGAAGAACAAGUACCGUUCGAAUAGGGCGGUACCUUGACGGUACCUGACGAGGAAGCCACGGCUAACUACGUGCCAGCCGCCGCGGUAA